CCGGCCGGCACGCUACGCUACGCAAACCCAACACAUCCACACUGAGUUGCCAACAGGUGCAUGAUGGGUCGGGCUACAAUCCAGAACGAUCAUACAGCGGUGACUUCUAGUGAGGACAACGGGCGAUGCUAACUUCGAGCCAAACCGCUGCAUACGUUGGUUUAGGGGAUCCAUAACGGGUAACGCUAUCCCUGCAGCUAUACAACCAUCCCAGAGAGCAACACCCUCUGUCAGGACUCUUCUUACAGCUCCAUCUACAGUUUGACAAGGGACUGGGCCAUGUAAAAGCAUCAGAGCAACAGUACUAGCAGCAGAAACUCAGCGAUGCCCAUCCUUGGCUCUGUGCCCGAUGCCAGCAGACCUCGCGGGAACCACAGAAACGUUCCUCCGGACCCAGGGAGUAGUCCGAACCGCAACUCAAACCAGUUGAGCUUUGUCGAGCCUGUCUGUGGGAGAUAGCCAGUGGAAAGACAGAGGCUGGGCUACAGCAUGGAAAGAUAGGUAUAAAAAGGAAGACGAUGAGCAAUCCCAUCCUGGGGCUAGUGCACCUCUCAAGACAUCAGCUGAGGGUUGAAACACCACCCGCCCAUCCCUCCAUCCAUACUGUGACGAAUGGCAGGAAAUCAGAUGGUGGCCAUGACAGGCAGAUUAUAAGAUCCCUCUGUCUACAUGACUUAGCCCUGUCUCUGCUUCUUAAUCGUUAAAUGUGAUUAAAGCAAACAAACGAAGCAUUAUUAGAUUAGUCAGAAGGACAUGGAGUCUUUGUUGCUAAUUAUCUUUUCCUUUUUAAUGAAAUGCUGCUUGAAAUUAACAUUGCUCUCACUAAUUUGAUUUAGCAUUGCCCCGAGAAAUACCAGACAGCUCUGAUUUGCCUGCAGUUUGAGAUCCUUGUCAGGGGCUUGAGAUCAAAUGUUGGAGCAAGGCAAACAUUUCUGUUCUUUUGCAAAGUUCACAGCAGCUGAUUAAGUUACUGCUGCUGCACUUGUGCAUUACAGAUUAUUUCAGGUGAGGCCAGAGAGAGUCUGAGACACUAAAAAUGGACUAGAGAAUGUUAAAUUCAUAUAAUAUAUAGAAGAAGAUAAACAAGAAACUUAAUAAAAUCUAAAUGUCAAUGUCAUAUAGCGAAAUUAAUAUUGCAGUGGUCAUUUCAAUGGACACUCAACUAUGCUAGUGCUGAUUGUGUUUGUUAGAAAGCUGUUGUGUGCUUGGAUUAAAGAGGGUUAGCGUUUGUAUGAAUAGCGUGUGCGUGUAUCUGUAACUGGCAGCGGGUGCUGCAUUGUUGUUGAAAAUAAUCCUGUCAGCAUAAUCCUCCUUUGUGAGGUUCAUUAAUUGCAUUUAAGAUGGGAUGCAAUCUAGCUGAUUCAGACCCUACUUUAGAGCUUUUCUCAGCUUUUGCUUCAUAAAGCCCCUGUCGCUUCAAAGGCUAUAUGGUCCAGUAAAGGGUGUUUUCAGAUUUUAAUUUAAAUUUACACUGCUUUUUAUCCCUUUGACUCAUAGCAGUGUGGCCACAUUGUGUAUACAGUGGCAAAAUGAAUUUAACAGCUUGCCAUCUUCAGAGUGCAGCUGCUACCAACCACUGCUGCUUGGGUUGUUGAGCUAAGGGCAGCAAUUGUAAAUUAAUCUCCUUUUUGAACAAUACAUUAUCAAUCAUAAAGGGUAAUAUUUUACAUUAUAUAUCACAUUUUUUGACAACAUUCUAAUUACAUUGAAGAUGAGAUGUAUAUGUCAGGUUUGUUACAUAUGUACACUACAUUCUUAAUGCUUCAGGUAGUGCUGGGAUAUUCAUUUACAGCCUUAUUGCUUUGCAGCGGAAGCGGUUACACUUGUUUUGUUUUUCACUCCAAAUAUGUAAGUGUAACAGCAAUAAUCAUAAACCUAAAUUCUCAUAUACUCAUCCUUGACAAUAUGGAGAAACAACAUUUGCAUGUUUACCACACAGAUAAUAUGGGAUCAGUGAUAAAUUUAUUUAUUUUUCAAUAUUUAUUAAAAUGGAUAAGCAUUUUCAGUAGAAAUGGUGUUUAAUUUAUUGAUUAUCUGUUGCAGUUAGUAAAGAUGAGAAAGAUGAUUUAUUAAGUUAGCCAUGGGGAUACUUGCAUACACUCUCUCUUCCCUGUACACAAUAAGUCACUCCAGCUACACUUAUUGCACAGCAAAGCUCUAAAAUAUUUUUGUAAAUGUAUUUCCUAAUUAUAUUUGGCUAAGGUUUGCUUUUGAUUCAUGGUCACCAGUCAAUUCCGCAAUAGAGAAAGAGCAGGAAUUUGGAGGCACUCAAGCAGCCCAAUGUGAGCGAAACAUAGCUUUCUCUCUCAGCCUUGCCUCUGAAUUACUCUCCAUUUUUAUUUUCCUGAAUGAAACUUCAGGAAAUCCAUUUAGGAUGGCCUCUGCAGCUUUGGCUGUCAGAGAUACAGCCGCUUAAAACCAGAGGUCACCUUCACACUUGUUUAAUAGCUACUCAAAGCACCUUAGUGAGUGUGUUUUUGCCCUGACUGGCAAUAAAUACUCAUCGACCGAGCAAGGUUUAUCUUUUCUCAGUGUUUUAAAGGGAUACCUCCUUUUUAACAGAAUAUAAUGCUGGAAAACGCAAUCAAACACUCAUUCAGUGUAGGAUUGUAUAGUGGAUCUGAAAAGUUUGUAGCUUGCUCUUUUGAGGAUGACAGCUGUAGUCAGUAACUUGGAUUUCCAGCCAUUAAAAUGGAUUUCAACGUCCAUACAAACAUCUCAAACCACAGCAUUAUCCUAUUCUCUUGUCCACCUGUAUGCUCAAUAUGUUCCAAACAUUGAUCUUUUUGCCAAGAUGUGCCAAAAUAUGGCUUAAUACACAAUGGUUAACUGUUUGGCUUUCUUAAAAGCAACUAGGUUUGCUUACAUUGGUCCUGAGAGAAACAAACAAAAACAGCUCACAACACAAGUGAUAAUAUGGAUGCAGUGUUUUUUAGCCAUAUUUUGUGAUGUUGUGUAUGUUUGGAGUACAUUAAGCAUACAGAAGAACAGUGCAAACAGGGAUUGGGCUGCUGGAGUGGUUUAAGAAGUUGGAAUCCAAGCUGGCAACAGCUGCCUUCCUCCUCGAACCUACUGUGAGCAAAUGUACUGAAAAGAAUUUCCCACUCGACCCUUGUCCCAGUCUUUGACAGGCAGGGUGCUUGUUCCAUGUAGUGUCUACCAGGGACCACCAGUGUUCACCCUCAUAAAGUUUUUUGAAUUCACCUUGUAAACUAAAAUAAGACUAAGAGUCUAUAGCCCUGCUACUACCUCUGUGGGGCUGAGGCACAGCAGAGUUAAAUGCUCAUGUCAGCAUGCUCACAAUCAUGAUGCUGACAUGCUGAUGUUUUGCAGGUAUAAUGUUUACCAUGUUCAUCAACUUAGUUUAGUGUGUUAGCAUGCUAAUAUUUGCAAACUAGCUUAACACAAGGGCUGUCCCCUAAACAUCAAAGAUUCCAGUCAUCAGUCGAGAUGUCCCUCAGUCAAAUCUCAUUUUGUCAGUUGUAUCACUACACUUUUUUAGCUACAUUAUUGUACACAGAGAAACAUAGGCAUGGCAACUAUAAACAUUUACAAACCAAGUCUUGUCUAAAAUUACCAAGCCUAAAUAUAACAGAAAUAGACAUGGGUGAUGGAAAUGGAGGGCAGCACGAUGGAGGGCAGCUUGACUCGUUUCUGUUCACUGCUCAGACACUCAGCUCAGGUGCUGAAAGCUAGCAGUUGGCUAACCUGCUUUUGAACAAACGCUGGUCUGACCUCCUGUACUUUAUCCUGUGUGGUUGACUCUUUGGCUGACAGUGCUAUCAGCAGUCAGGCAGAAGAGAUGCUUGUAGUACACUGGUUUUAUUCCUGAACUAUGACCAGGAUGCACAUUUUUCAUUUCUUUGACUCUGUGGUUCAAUAAGACUGGACAUAUAGGCUGUUUAGUGUGGGGCGGGGUACUCUAAUUGGGUAAAGGCUGUGAAUAUUAUAUUUAUCAUAAUCGUGGGUAAGGUGUGCAUGGAUAGUAAUGUUGAGUGUUUAAUAUAACAAAAUAUCUUUAGAUAAGAAAAAGUUGGAAACACAGCUCCAGCUUUUAAAAUAUCACAGAAACAACAAAUCUGUCUGUGGGCAGAGUUCAGACUCUUAAAGGACAAUGUUAUGUCUUAUUACAUGCUGAUGCCACAAUAUUGCAGGGCUCCAUGUUUAUAUUUUUUUUUCCCGGAAAUAGCAUUAAUGCAUAUUUUUUUCACAUUUAACAUACAGUGUGCACAAGAUGUAGAGGCAAGAUGAUUUAACCAAGAGAUUACUAAAGAAUGUCAUUUUCCAAAAGUGUUAAAGUAUUGACAAGUAUUUACAAUUUGAAAAUGAGAUAAAGAAUUUACUUCACUGCAGAAUUAAAUUUUGUGCCAAAGAUGCUCAGUAUAUAUAGUAAAAUAAAUGUUCAUAGUAGCAGAUGAUAAGAAAUGUUGAUUAAAUAUGUAUCUGGCACAUUGAAAUAACAGCCUUUUGUCUUUGGCUCAUCUUAUUUUUCACAAGCAGCUUUCCCAAAAUUUGGGGAUCCUGAUUCAGAACUUUUAAGCUGACAACCUUAAAUUAUUGAUAUGAUAUCAUGAAAGUUUCAUUGGGAGAAUGUGAAAUUGAGGUGAUGUGAUAAGCUAGAUUGUGUUACUGGAGAUGACUUAUAACUCUUUUUGUGUUGUAACCACAAAAACAGUCUACUCACGAUUGUGCAGUGGUGUUAUAGAGGUAUCUUCCCUCACAAUUGAUCUUUGGCUGAGUACGGACACCGGCUACAGAAAGCACACAGACCCGACAUCAGCCAAGUUUAAUUUUGACCUGUCAUCAAGUUACUCAUAGAAUUACCUUAAUUAGCGACAGCUGAUAUGACCUGCCAGCGAAAGUGAUGUUCACUGUCGGCUAAAAAUGAGAAGUUGUUACCUGAGUGGUCUGUACACUGCUCUUUGCUAAUAAGACAGAGAGGAGAUAUAAAAGAUUCAAUAACAGAUUUGUUUGUGUGGGACCUAAGUGAAUAUGUGUAUUUUGCCAGUCCAGGUGUCAGAACCCAGAGUCACUCACACCAGUGUGCCCAAAUAAUAUGUAGAGCCUAACUAUGUGUAUGUUUUGCACAUGCUCAUACUUAAUCAUGUAUUAAUAUUUGUAUAUAUUUAGUGCAUGUAUGUAUUUCCCCAGAUGAGAUAUGUUUUCUUUCAUUAAAAAGGGGCAGAACAGCAGGACAACCUAGAAAAUACAGCCUGCAAAUAGAUGUUUGUCCCUGCCAUAUAUGUGGGAAGAAGACCCACAGUUCAUUUUUUUGUCCUUUACACAUAAGUUGUUUCAGGUGUAUGUUUUAUAAUGUGUAAUAUGGCUUUUUUGGCAUAUGUAACACACACAAUCGUGUGUGAUUACUGGUAUGAGCAUUUGUGUUUUGUGUCGUCUUCUCAGCUCCAUUUAUUCUGGUCUUUGAGGCAUAUCUGUCUCUUUCUUCUGAUUGUUUUUCUUUUUUUCUCUCCUCUUUUUUUUUCUCUGGCUGGUGGCAGGAGGGAACUUACCAUGCAUUUCACGUUGAACUCAGAGUAUGUUGCUAUGGUGGUUGCUAGGGAUUUAGCCUAGAGUGACGUGGAAAGUCCAAAUAUUGAAGGUGUCCUUCUGAUGCAGCGGCAAUGGAAGGAAUAAGCAAUCGCCUCAGAUAGUUUUUUUUUUAAUGUGCCCUUUCAUUAUCAUGCCUCUCUUUUGAAAUAUCAGAAUUGAUUUUCAAAACACAAAAAAGGACUGCAUUAAAAGGCACGAUUCAAAGAAAACAGGGAAAACAUUGCUUUUCCAUAUAAUGCUUGUUCAUUAAUUUUCUCAUUUUGGCAUGUAUGUGCAGAUAAUUCUCUGCAUCCCCCUCAUAAUAAACACUAUCAUUUUAUCUAUCUGUUAAACUAACAAAGGAUAACUGAAAAUAUUUAAUGUGACCAAGGGAUAUAGAUAUUUUAUAACAACUAAUACAACAACUUUUUUUUCACCUCCUAAAAGCCUUAUUCUUUAAAUGCAGUGCCCACUGAUUUUGAAUUGAUAGAUUGUACUUGACAGGUGAGGAUGUACAGAGGCUGGAACAAAUAAUGGAAACAUGUAACAAUAAGUGAAUAUAAAAUAACUGAAAAGGAGAUGGGGCAGUCUUUGUCAGACAUGUCCUGUUAUAUAAAUCCUUCAUUUCUGGUUUCAAGAAGGAAACCAGGAAGGAAAUAUUAAAUGUAUUUUCCCAUUUGCAAAACCUCUCUUAAAGUUGUGUUUAUUUUUGUAUCAUUAGAAGGACUAUGUAUCUCCAGUAUUAGAUAGGAAUCCCUCACCUUUGGCAUGGUUUCAUUCUUAUUUGGUGAACAUAACUCACUGUGUACUAAUAUUUGGCCAUGCACUGUGCUGUGAAAGAACAUUUCAGUUAAAGGUGCUACAGUACACUGGCCAUGUAAGCCACAUAGGAGCUAUUUCUUGAAUGCUACAGUUCAGCUCUUGAAGGUGUUAAUUCUGAUGAAGGUCUUUUUUGAUGGAUUUGGUGGCUGAUGUUCAAAUCAAGUCUAUUCUCACAAUACUGACCACGCUGUAUGUCAGAGUUCCUUUCAAAAGAUAACAUGGUAUUGACCAUGUACCAGUAUACUGGAAUUUCAUUAGGAAAAAAGAAAACUGCCUGAGCAGUUAAACAGUCAUAUCAGCAUGGUUAUAACUGACUUGCAUGUAGUGCAUCAAAUGCUUUAUAUGAAAGAUAAUACAGAGGCUGUGGGGAAGACUUGCAGUUUAAUUUUUGAGAAAGUCAUUAUUUUAUAGAAAAAUGUUACCACUAUGUGUCAUUAUUAGCUAUUAGCUGGCUAACCCAGCCAUGGUUAACAAAGCUUACUGUGGCUUAUAUUCUCUAACCAACAACCAAACAUCUAAGCAGAUGCCAAACCAUCUGGGUAUACUGUUGCACUGAAUUAAGUGCUGGUGGAACAACACUGAAAGUGUUCCUAAGCUGGUGUGUAUGUUAGCAGCUAAUUUCUGAUAUUGAUGCUGUUUUAGGAAUGCAGCUGAGCCAAAUACAAAAAUAGGUAGUGAUUUAAAAGGAUAUCAACUGUUUUGGAAAAUACGUUUGUUCACUGUCUUGCCCAGAGAAACUGCAGAUAAAAAAAAUAGCUAUAAGCUUACUCUGGCACAGUACUUCAAAUGGUAACAUUUAUGUGUAAUAUUGUACAUGGUCUCUUACAAUAAAUAAAUAGAUAAUAGUCAGAUGUGAAAAAAUAAUAUCUUAUUGUAUCUUAUUUUCACAUUCUGUUUUGACAACAGAGAGGAGCAUGUCCAUCUUUACUUGGCUUGCCUUGUACCUUGGAAUUAGGGGGAAACAAUAAGCAUUUCAGCACCUCCUAAACUGUUAUCUAUAUUUGUUGUUUGCUAGCAAGCUCACAGAGUCACAUGUGUUUUGUGCUUAUGCACAUCUCUGGUGUUACUAACUCUUAUUAACUUCAAUGACUGCUAACAGUCUAUCUAUUUUCAAACCAAUUAAUCCUCAGUUUCUAAUUUUUCUAGUUUGCACUUCCAAAACCACCACCUGCCUCCUACAUCCUGUCUUUUUAGGACCUUGUGUGAUUUCUUUUAUCAUUGAGUCACUCACCAAAUUGACAAAUUACACCACUUAUAAAUAAAUCACAUCUUGACCCUAAUGUUCUCCGUAAUUACAGAUCAAUUUCUAAACAUCUGUACAUGUCAUAACUGCUUUGAAACAUUAAAGGCAGUCAACUCACCACUUAUGUGUCCAAUAAUAGCUGUUUUGACAAACUACAGUCUGGUUUUCACAGACUCCAUUCCACUGAAACGUCUUCAGCCAGCUUGAUCUCAGUGAAGUAUUUGAUACUGUUUAUUAUGGCCUGUUAUUGCACCAUCUCCAGUAUCAGAUAGGCAUCCAUCACCUUUGGCAUGGUUUCAUUCUUAUUUGUCUAACAAAACUCAUUGUGUACUUAUAUGUACACAAGGCCUUCAUUGUGUAAUGAAUAAACCUUUCUGACUCAGAAAGUUACAUCUGGUGUACCUCAAGGCUCCAUCCUGGGUCCUCCUAUGUUAUCAGUAGGUGAUAUUAAUUACAAUUUCGGGAUCCAUUUUCAUUGCCAUGCUGAUGAUACAUACUUAUUCAUUCCAACUCAACCCAGUGAAUCUUCAGUCUCUCAAAUCCUUGCCUGUCUGAAAUUUAAAAACUGGAUGUCUUUUUCAUGUUAAAAACAGAUAAAACUGAAAUACUUAUUUUUGGACCAGCCAAACACAUUUUUUAAGUCUUUUUAAAAUGUCUUUCUGCAUCUUGAUGGUUGUGGAAUUUCCACAGAGCAAAACAGCUUGGGUGUCAUAUUUGAGCUGUCCUUGUUACUUGAAUCCCGCAUUAGGUCUACUUUCAAGAUAGCAUUUCACCAUCUAUGUGAUAUAACCAAAAUCAGUCCAUUUCUCUCAGUAACUCAUACAGUGAUUUUGAUCCAUGCAUUAAUCUCUUCCAGGCUUGAUUGUUGUGAUUUCCUUUUUUUCCUAGCCUAUUCCAGUCAUCUAUCAGUAGUAGGCCUGGGACGAUAUGCUUAUCUCCCGAAUCGAUACUUGAUACAUGAUACAUACGUGAUACUUGGGUGCCAAUCCGAUUCUUGAGUAUUCACCUUUUGCUGCCCCGCCCAUUUUUUCCUCUUCUGGUUCGAACGCAAUUGUAUUCAUUCUUCCAGUUUAGUGCUAGCAUAAUUUACCAGCUAAUGGCAUUGUCAACAAUGAGGAAAAACACAGUUGUGUGCUGGUUCAUUUUAGACAGAAGACGUUAUUUGCGAUAUGAUUAAGUUCAGGAUGCGAUGUCGAAGCCAGAACUGUGUGACGCUGAUAGGUGGUUCCUCUGAUACACAUAGCUGCUUCAUCAGGUCUGCCUUUCAGUAGCUUUUCGCGCUGAUCGGAGAUCAUCAGAGAUUCAGCUCCACAAAGACAUGAAAUGUUCUGGUAAGUCUGUGUUUCUAAUGUUUUUAACUUCCAAAUCAGUCAGCAUGCUGGCUUGAAUUGCGAAGUAACGUCUGAAGUGUGUUUACUGUUUUUAGGCAGUGUAACAGCGGCUGCGCAGUUGGUUAGCUAACACUGUUAGAAUCCUAUUUUGUAAACGUAUUUACCGUUUGACACAGCAUGACGUUAAUUAUUAACUUCGGUUAACUAAUGCAGGAUCCUGGUGUCUAGUUAAAUAGCUUGGUGACUUUCUGUUUGCUUAGCUAAAACAUUUGUAAUUUUUAUUUUUGAACAUUGGAACCUUCAUGAACAUAGGAUUUAUUGCAGGGCUGAUGAGACUGCAUUAGCAUUGGCUAGGUAUAACUAAUAUACUGGCAACUGAGUGUAUAGAUAUAUUCCUUUUUGACAAUGUCCAAAAUGCACCUUUUAGUGACAAUGUGACACUAUACAUCACAUGUGAAUUCCCACAGCUUUUUUCCAUUCUGGUUUACAUCCACGCCAGAGCAAAUGCAACCACAGCCACAGAACACAUCAAGAGGACAAAUUCAUCCUGGGUGAUUUUAAUCACUGCCCAGCUGACAAAUAUUUAAAAAGUAUUUACCAAUACGUCACAUGAACCACUUGCUGUGGUUCAGUCCCAAAUGCAUACAGGUCCAUCACCACCCACCACCGAACUGCCAAACUGAAAUAUAGAGACAAAGUGGAGCAAACAUUUAUGCGAGGGAACCUCCAUUCAGCUUGGCAGGGUCUCAAGAACAUGGCAGAUGUGAAUACUGCUUCCACCACCCGCCAGCUCAUUCAGGUUGCAGGCAGCAGCCUAGCAUCACUCACUAAUGACCUAAAUUCCUUUUACACCAGAUUUGAGACAGACAACAGCACCCAGCUAGAUGCAACUAUCUCUACACUCAAACCUGGUGACCCUGCCCUCACCAUAAAAAAAGGAUGCGGUGGGAGCCCUCAAGAAGUGAACACAACACCCAUGCCAGACAACAUCAGUGGCCAUACCCUGAGGUACUGUGCUGAGCAGGUGGGGGGCGUGUUCCAGCCCCUGUUCCAGAGCUCCAUGGUCAACAGCAUAGUCCCCCAGGAAACACAGGUGGAAACACUCGACAGUUAUUCCAAUAGCCUACUGAAGAAGGGCACUAUAAAGGCCCUGAAUGACCUCAGGCCUAUGGCUCUCACCUCUCUUGUGAUGAAAGCUAUAGAGGGGGUCAUCAAAAACCAUAUCAUCAAGGCAACACAGAUGGACCCACUCCACUUUGCAUACCACGCAGGCAGAGGUAGUGAUUCCCCUAUAGAAUGAAAUAUGAGUGACACUGCUAAAAUUUCUCCAUGACCACUGAUAUCAAUGGGCUACUAAAGAUUUGCACUUGCACACUGCGCAAGCAUGAUAACACCCUACAGUGUGGAAUUGUUUUGAGUCAUCGACUAGUGCAUCUAAUCCGAGAAUCCUUCCUCUCCUUAUUCUUCAAUGGACAUCUAUUUGAAAGGUACUGUUAUAAAAGUAAUGUAGCUCCUUUAGGGAUGUGCAUAAUGUGUGUGUGUAGCAAGUGUGUGGUUGAUCGAGUGCAGAGAGCAAGUGGCAGAAAAGUGACAGUGAAUGUGAGUGGAGCAGAGGAAAAGGAUAGCAGUGAGUUGUCAGUCUGGCAGUAAAUGUACAGUGUGGGCUACAGUGUGUCAUUUAAUAAAUGUUGCAGCUUCUCAAGAUCAAGAGAAAUCCUGCCUGUUGUGUCCUCAACUGCUGGAAAAGUGAAGGGGGUUAGCCCUGAAGUUAGCAACAAUGGGUUAACCUAACCUGACCAGGCUCACUUCAGGUCGACCGACCUUUAAGGUGGACCAGCUGUUCUGAUUUUGGUGUCAAUCUCAGCCACACCUACUGUAAAUAGAGAACAGAGAAAUGUCUGGCUGCUGAGUCUCUCCCGAGUUUGGCUCAGCACCCCCACCCUCCACCCCCCGCCAAUCCAAAGCAGCCAACCUGGGGGAAACACUGAGAGGGGUUGACGAUGCAAAAGCAUUCAUUACAGACAACAUACAUAAUCAUCUGGAACACCCCAACACUACAGCAAGACUCCUAUUUGCAGACUUCUCCUCAGCAUUCAACACCCUGCAGCCACAGAUUCUUGCUGAGAAACUCACCAACCUCUUCUACCUAGAUGACCGACUAAUACUGUGGAUAAUGGACUUUCUCACCAACAGGUCACAGAGAGUGCUGAUCAACAACACCUUCUCUGACCUCCUACACACUUGAACUGGUUCCCUGCAGGGCUGUCUCCUCUCACUCCUGCAUUUGAUCCUCUACACUGAUGACUGCAGGUACACCCAGCCAAACUGUCACAUGGUCAAAUUUGUUGAUGACACAGUCCUCCUGUCUCUGCUUUCAGGCCCCUCACAGCAUCACAGCUCAGCUCUUGAUGAGUUUGUGGAUUGGUGUGACAACUUCCACCUGGAGCUUAAUGUGAACAAGACCGAGGAGACGGUAGUGACCUCCUCAAAGAAGCAGAGGGAACUUGCUGCGACAUUCACCACCAUUAUCCACGGGAAGCCCAUAGAGAUUGUUGAGGAAUAUAAGUACCUGGACACAAUCCUGAAGAAGCACAACUCCUCUGGGCCUCCAGAACAGAAAUCACCUGCAGAGCACAGUCAAAGUCUGCUCCAAAAUUAUUGGACUUCCUGUCAGAGCCCUCUCCACCCUAUGCGAGCAGCAGAUGCUAAGGUCAGCUGACAGAAUCCUACAGGACCCCUCACACAUCCUGUUCCCUGUGUUUGAGUGGCUUCCCAGGCUUCAGAACACAGAGGAGAAGGGCAACCUUUGUCCCCAACUCCCAGCCAUCCCUGUCCCUCUGCUCACCCUGCUAACCCCCCCUCCCCCCAUAGAGUUCAUGCACUAACACACACACACACACGCACACACAGUGACUUGCACAUGACUUGGACUGAUGCUGCUAUCUAUGUUCAUUGAAUCACUAUGCACCUAUAUAUUAUGGAGGCAACCAUCAAUACAUAUACUGUGUGUACUCCAUUGUACUUUCACUACACUAAUAUUAUCAUACUCAUAUCAUUAUAAUUAUUAUCAAUGUCUACAGCAUUGUGCUGCAUCAUACUGCUUUAUACUUUUUAUUGCACUAAUAUUGAUAUAUGAAUAUAUUAAUUGCACUAAUCUAUAUUAAUUGCACUAUUGUUAUCAUUCUAAUAUCAUUAUUGUUAUUAUUAUCAUAAUGUGUACAUUAUGCUGCAUUAUACUGUUUUAUACUUUCAUUGCACUAAUAUUUUUAUUUUCAUAUAAUUAUUAUUAUCAUAAUGUUUACAGGUAUUUUUUUUGCAUUUUAUGUAUUAUACUAUUAUCAUAAUGUGCACAGCUUAUUUUUGCUUUUUACUUAUUUUUAAAUUUUCCUGUAUUGACUCUGCUACUCUACACGCCUUUGCAAAUUGCCCCUCAGGGACAAAUAAAGUGUUUUGAAUUGAAUUGAAAAAUUAGGAUUUAGGAUAUAUAUAUAUAUAUAUAUAUAUACACACAUACAACUUAUGACCUGCAUCAUCUGCUUCUUCUACCCCUGGCAGUGCUGCAUUACAAUGUAUGUGCAUGACAAUGGUAUGUUCUGCAAAUGUUCUUGGGUAGUCAGCCCCAUCAAGGAGAAGCCAUCAUACAGUUAGCAAUUUCAGUCAUUUAAUCUAAUUAAUUACUUGAGUCAGUGCAUAUAUUAAAUAUUAUCACUGAAUGUGGUAUGAAUAUUUUUAUCUCCUCCAGCAUAUGUAUCAGCCCUGAUGGAGUCUCUGAGGGAGACCUCACCAAAGAUUAUGAGACAGCAUAGUACAGGUCCUGCCAUCAGAUCACCAAACACAAGGCAGCUGGCUUCUAACUUGCACAGCCUUGACGGUUUAACGCAGGACUUAAGUGUGAAACCCUGCAUGGAUGUUGGGGUCCUCAUUUUGCAGUUUAACAUUAUUACAAGUCAUAUUAAUUCUAAAAUUCAUACUCAUAUUUACCAAGAGGUUACAUUUUCUGUUUCAGACUGACUCAAUUGUUUUGUUGUGUAUUUAUUUAUAUUUGAAACUUGGUAAGAGAUUUAUAUGAAAUUUGGGGAAAAAAAUUUUGAUCAUGAAUGAUUGAGUGAUGGGGUAUUUUUUAACAUUUUCACUAUUUACUCAUGGUUAUUAUAUUAAAAAAACUCUCAUGAUUGUCUAUCUCUGUGUGUAUUUUGAUGUAGAGCAAGAUGCAGAUUGAAUAUGAAAAACUCAAGACAGAGACUCAUCAGCCAGA